rnacentral:tRNA from 1 species
GCCGCCGUAGCUCAGUGGUAGAGCACUCGGCUGUUAACCGAGUGGUCGCCGGUUCGAGUCCGGCCGGCGGCG